ensembl:lncRNA
AACAAAGGAGCAGGAGCUGGUGUAAUACACAGGGGUAUCGCCCCUGGAACUCAAGAGUCCAACAGAUGCAAUUACAAAGCAGAAGGUGCAGGAGUCUGCCUACUCUGUGGAAAUGAGGUGACGCCUUCAUCACAGCCAGGAGCCAGGCUGAAAAUUAUUGUCUCUGAGACAGCACAAAACUCAGACUGCAGAAAGUUCUUUUUUUGGACAACUUCAAAGCUGAACUUUGUAUUUGAGAGAUGGAAGCAUGCAACUAAAUGCAUCUGCAUAUACGCUGCCUCACUUUAUCUGGGGAGUAACAAACCGGGUGACAGAAACAAUGCACUGGCUUAAAAAUGAUGAACUUCUUUUUUUCUUUUUCUUAUUAAAACAGGUGAGUUUCUAGAUGUUUUAAUCUUAUUUUGAACUCUUGACCAUACAUGAAUGUAGCUCACAAAUUCAGGCUCCUCUCUGUCAUGUAGAAAAUCACACUUAUGGAAAAAUGUCUGAAGAAAAAAGCAUUAUGCUAGGAGGGAAAAGAUGGGAAGAAAUCCCCAAAUUUCUCCUCAACUACUGCUAAUAAUUGUUCACUGCAAUGUGUUUGCUACACAAAAUCAGCUUGGUGGCUUACAGUUUGGAUCCAGUUUUAUCUUUCUGUGUUAUUUGCCUGAUAAUACAAGCUGCACCAGAUUUCACCUUCUGAUGAAAUCUAAUUACCUGGGCUUCCAUUCAAAGAAGCACUUUAGUGUAAAGCCAGUUCUUUGGAUAGCAGUGAAACGGCCUUUAUGUUUACAGCUACCUCUAUUGUUUAAAUUGAGUCACUGUUUAUCUUUUUCUAUUUCCACAAGGAAAUGGCCAAUAAAAUAGAGAAAUGUAAAAAAACUUCCUUAUUCACAUUAUGCUGGAGGUUGUACUUGCUUAUGGAACAUUUUCUCAAACACUACGUGUGAAGGACAAAAGAAGAGUCACAUAAUACAUACAGCAAUGAUUAGUAACCUUAAAAGAGUAUUUUCUAAAGUAUGGAGAUGUUCUAAAAUAUCUCUGAAACAUCUAAAAUUAAAAAGUAGUUCAAACUUAUCUCAUGUUGAAAACAGGGAAAGCAUAACAAUGGUAAAUGUGAGCAUUUUUACAUUCUGUUAUCCAAAAGCCUUUAAAAAUCCAUUCUUCGUCAGAUCUUUGCUGUUUUUUGUCCCUGUCUGCCUGCACAGGAUACUACAUGAAGUCGUAUCUUGGAGUAAUGGCAGCUUUAAAACUGAACCUUUGUGUUGUUUUAGCCUAUGAAAUAUUGACUUCUAGUCAGUGCAGAUGUAUUAGUUUCAUGUGGGCAGGCAAAGCUGGUUCACAAAGCGGUGCAAAAAGUCAUCUCGUGGAAACCUGUACUCAAAUCAGACAUGAGUGGCAAAGCUUAAACUGAAGAUCUCCUGUUUUGUGUCUGGAGCCAGCUUUAAGGGAAGCCGCUCUGUUGAUAGCAUGUAAUAAGUUCUUACACUUUCCUCUGAAGUUUCUGCUGCUGGACAUUUUAGAAAGCAUGGCUAACUUCAUCUCAUUAUGGCAACUUCUGUGUAAAAGUAAUGCUUCUUCCCCUGCUGGGAUUCCUAUACUUGAGAAUUAAUUGGUGGAUGCUGAGUCUGCAUAAAAUAAAAAGCGUUUACUCCCUACAGGACAAGGAAGUCAUGCUCCUGAAAGUGAAGCAAAGCUGACAGACAAAAACAAAAACAAAAACAUAUCUAACACAUACUGUAAUUCAGAAACCUGGAUUCCUCAUCUGCCCAGCAUUCCACAUUUCUCUGUUGUCAUGUCUUUUGCUACAAUGGGAGACAAAAUACUGUUUUUCUGCUGAAGUCAGUUUUCCUAAUUGUACUUACUGAGUUUGUUGAACAUUAAGCAUGAACAGAGGUGGGAAAUUAUACCAGAUCUGUAGUGUGGGGCUGCUCAACACACCCAGUGGGGCAGAAAACUGCAGGUAAAGAUGGAGUGCCAAAAAGCACGUUCAUCUCUUAGCUCUGUCAUUAAAAGACUCAUUGCAAUG